GUCACAGAACCAUCAAGUUCCAAUAAUGCUACACAAACUGCUGUUCUAACAGUAAGUCUAUAAUUCAUAAGUUACAAAUGUAAAUUUAUUCUGUUUCUAUCUAAACUUCCUACUACACAGCUUCGCCCGCAUGGGUAUCGUUUAUGUUAGCAAGAUUGUUGCGACCUCUUCGAGAAUCAUCGUUAUUUUAGUUAGUUAUUAACACAAAAUGCAAUAAAUUAUACACCUAAAUCUCAAUUAAUUACUCUAGCUAUGCGUAAAACUCAUGCUUAAUGGAGAAAAAUUCACUUUUCACUCAUACUUUUCAAUAACCGAUCGAUGGAUUGUUUUUGUGAAAUAUCUUUGAAUUCGACAGAUCGAAUUUUGACAUUUAUCAAUCUGCGGUCUAGAUUGGAAAUAACUUUACAUAUACAUUAUAUUCCAGUAUAGAAAGCUGCUGUUAAUAGUACUAAUAUACUGUUUCUUUUUUGUCUUUCCAGCUUGAGGUAAUUUAAAUUAAACACGUAUAUCACGUAGUUUAUCAGUUAGUCUUUGGUUCGCUUGGAGGCAAACAUAUUUCACUAAUACAUAAUAUAUUGGUUUUAGCCUGACGCAGUAAGUUAGAAAGAACAUUUGUCAUUUAUACAUAAAUAUUUUCAUUAAUAAUUAAUUCACGUUAAUUUUGUUUUAAUUUUUAGACUACGGUAAUUAUGUUACAAUUUUCUAAAUCACCUGUAUAUGUUAUUUUAUAUAAACUUGACUAUUUAACAAUAUCUGUUUUUUUAAAGCCUGCGGUAUGUUUUUAUUUAACGUAAUUAAAAUAUAAAAUUAAGUAAAAAAAUAUAAAGUAAUAUUAAUAUAUUUUUUUACUUUACAGAAUGUCGUAAGUGAUUCCUUCAAGUAAAAAUUCGUAAUUUCUUAUUCCAUUUUUACUGUACAUAAUAAUGUAUGUACCUAUAUAAUGUAUGUACAUAAUAAGUAUUUUGUUUUGCAGUUCACCGUAAGUGUUUAAAACAUAUAUAUUAUACUUUUUAAGUACAUAUUCUUUUAUAAUUCAAACAUUUUUUACCUUAUAGGAUCGCUACGUAAGUAUAUAUCUAUAUUUAGAAUUUAAUAGACCAAAAUAAAUUAAAUAUACUAAUUAAGUAGUGAAAAAUGAUGAUUAUGCUCUAAAGACUAGGUAAGUAGCUGAGCAUUUGUUUGUGUUUACAUUAUUAAUUCUACAAAGCAUCGCUAAUAUCAAUAAAUUGCUAUUUACUGAGUUUAAAUUGCUUUAAUUUAGAUAUUAAACUCUCUGAUAAUAUAUUUUUUUCCAUGGUUGCACCGUGCACGCAUUUCUGAAACACACCAUAAACGUAAGUUAAAAAAUCUUGAUAAUUUUUUAAUACAUUAAUUUGUACAAAUAUUAUCGUUUGAUACAAAACGCAUGUCAUAUAGGCUUCUCUCUCCAUCGUAUCGCUUAAGGAUGGGACACCAACAUUCCUUGAUUUCAAGGAAAGAAUUACUUUACCUUUCCCUAAUGAACGAAUUUUUUUUUUAAAUUUGAAUUUCGAACAUUCACGUAAUAAAUAAGAGAAAUGUAGAUUUAUUCCAAAGAGGAUG